rnacentral:pre_miRNA from 1 species
ACAACAUUCGGACCGUCGGUCUACCGAGCAAUAUCACCCGCCUAGUGGAAAAUCUUCCUGUUGUCGU